GACGAACGCUGGCGGCGUGCCUAAUACAUGCAAGUCGAACGAACCGCGACUAAGUGCUUGCAUUAAGUCAAGGUGAGUGGCGAACGGGUGAGUAACACGUGGGUAACCUACCUCAUAGUGGGGGAUAACAGUCGGAAACGACUGCUAAUACCGCAUAGGACAUAGGAUCACAUGAUCCAGUGAGGAAAGGUGGCGCAAGCUAUCGCUAAGAGAUGGACCCGCGGUGCAUUAGCUAGUUGGUAGGGUAAAGGCCUACCAAGGCGAUGAUGCAUAGCCGACCUGAGAGGGUGAUCGGCCACAUUGGGACUGAGACACGGCCCAAACUCCUACGGGAGGCAGCAGUAGGGAAUCUUCCGCAAUGGACGCAAGUCUGACGGAGCAACGCCGCGUGAGUGAAGAAGGUCUUCGGAUCGUAAAGCUCUGUUGUUAGAGAAGAACAGCGCAUAGAGUAACUGCUAUGCGUGUGACGGUAUCUAACCAGAAAGCCACGGCUAACUACGUG
rnacentral:rRNA from 1 species